UAAUAGCGUAUAUUAAUGUUGUUGCAGUUAAAAAGCUCGUAGUUGGAUUUUGGUGUUUGACAAAUGGUCUGCCUUUCGGUGUGCACUGUUUGUUGGCACUUCUUUUCUGGGGAACUCACUGCUCUUAAUUGAGGGGUGCUGUAACGCAGAUCGUUUACUUUGAAAAAAUUAGAGUGUUCAAAGCAGGCCAACGCAUUGAAUACAUUAGCAUGGAAUAAUGGAAUAGGACUUUGGUCUUAUUUUGUUGGUUUCUAAGGCCGAGGUAAUGAUUAAUAGGGAUAGUUGGGGGCGUUUAUAUUCCGUUGUCAGAGGUGAAAUUCUUGGAUUUACGGAAGAUAAACUACUGCGAAAGCAUUCGCCAAGGAUGUUUUCAUUAA
rnacentral:rRNA from 1 species